GUGAGGAAUAUUGCGCAAUGGGGGCAACCCUGACGCAGCAACGCCGCGUGGGUGAUGAAGGCCUUCGGGUCGUAAAACCCUUUUCUGGGGGACGAGCAAGGACGGUACCCCAGGAAUAAGUCCCGGCUAACUACGUGCCAGCAGCCGCGGUAAAACGUAGGGGGCGAGCGUUAUCCGGAUUUACUGGGCGUAAAGCGCGUGCAGGCGGCUUGGUAGGUUGGACGUGAAAGCUCCUGGCUCAACUGGGAGAGGCCGUUCAAUACCGCCAGGCUCGAGGGCGGAAGAGGGAAGCGGAAUUCCCGGUGUAGUGGUGGAAUGCGUAGAUAUCGGGAGGAACACCUGUGGCGAAGGCGGCUUCCUGGUCCGUACCUAACGCUAAGACGCGAAAGCGUGGGGAGCGAACGGGAUUAGAAACCCCAGUAGUCC
rnacentral:rRNA from 1 species